rnacentral:rRNA from 1 species
CAGCCGUAAACUAUGCGCGUUAGGUGUAUCGGUGACCACGAGUUACCGAGGUGCCGAAGGGAAACCGUGAAACGUGCCGCCUGGGAAGUACGGUCGCAAAGGCUGAAACUUAAAGGAAUUGGCGGGGAGCACCACAACGGGUGGAGCCUGCGGUUUAAUUGGACUCAACGCCGGGAAGCUCACCGGAUAAGACAGCGGAAUGAUUGCCGGGCUGAAGACUCUGCAUGACUAGCUGAGAGGAGGUGCAUGGCGUAGACGUCU